GGACAUUGAAAUGGAAACAACAUCACUGUCUGACACUCCCCAAGAUAGCCUUUUACUCCGAAUAUUGGAAAGUUUUCAUCAAAAAUUUUUUUAAAAAAAAAUUGAAAUCACUAUCUGAGAAGAGACUGCCAGUCCCAGAUGCCAGAUAUUGCCCAUCUCACACUGUUGGACUUCAAAAGCAAAAGUGGCCUCAUGCUUGUGCAUAGAGCGUAAGGUGAGAAACAAGAGGAAGGGGAGACCUUCACAGACUGUUUCGGUAGGGAAAAAUAAAAGAGGGCCACAACGCUUUGUCCUGCCAGAUUCUGUCUGCAGAGACCGCACAGACCAUUGUAUAUCUGUUCCGCACAGACCAUUUUUUCAUUUCAAGUAAUAAAAACAUGCAAAACAUUUUCAUUUCAUGCAUGGGUUAGGCCUGACAAAAUCAAUACAAAAUAGAAGUUAUGUAAAAUCAAACUCUUCCCAUGAACAAGAUGUUUGAGUCUGUGCUCUUUGACCGACUCUGAACACUGUCAUCAUAAUUAUAAUCACAGCUAUAAUCACGUCCAUUGUGGGCCUGGUGAUGGAGGCUCCAGUGUCAGUGACAGAUGACCAGAGCCACGCUGACUGCAAGAGCUAGCAAGACAAGCCCCGUCACUCAGCAUCAUGCGUGGAGUCAGCCUGGCCAACCAACCGACCAAACUGCAACAAAGAGUCUAUUUAUUCUUCUUGCUCGUUCGCAGCACUCGCCAACCCUCCGGGCUAAGCUUGUGCACCCCAAGGACAUUUGAUUUUUUAAUUAGAUUGGAAAAAAGAACAUGACAGCAAUGAGCUCUACAGCUCUUCCUAUUUAUGAUCUAAUCAGAGUCAUGAAAAUACCACUUGGCAAGUUUGUAUCAGGAAAUAUACUACCAGACUUUGAGCGAGUCCCUGUUGUAACAUCCCGCCUAGUGCAGUAAUAUAUUACACAAGAUUUGAAUGUAUUGCCUUGAGUAAAUAUUGAUACGUAUUAGAACAUGUUGAAUUAUAUAAUGUAGGCCUACAUGCAUUGUGUGAGAAAAUGACAUCUUCCUUUAGUCAAAACCAGCGAGUCAUGACUCUGGAAUUCAAGUGUUACUGGGAGCCUAUUAUUUAAAUAUGUUUUGUGCAAUGAAAUCCUAAUAUGAAAGGCAAGGCUAAAAUAAAGUAAUCAUGAGUCAGUAUUGAAA